CCUACGGGAGGCAGCAGUGGGGAAUUUUCCGCAAUGGGCGAAAGCCUGACGGAGCGACGCCGCGUGGAGGAUGAAGGAUUUCGGUCUGUAAACUCCUGUCAGGGGGGACGAUGAUGACGGUACCCCCAAAGGAAGCAUCGGCUAACUACGUGCCAGCAGCCGCGGUAAU
rnacentral:rRNA from 1 species